rnacentral:rRNA from 1 species
CCAAUAGCGUAUAUUAAAGUUGUUGCAGUUAAAAAGCUCGUAGUUGAAUUUCGGAAUCAAUAUGUCGGUCGUGCCUUGGUACGUACUGGUAUCAUUGGUUUCUCCUUUCUGACGAACCAUGAUGUCAUUAAUUUGGUGUUAUGGGAAAUUAGGACUGUUACUUUGAAAAAAUUAGAGUGUUUAAAGCAGGCUUUGGCUUGAAUACAUUAGCAUGGAAUAA